rnacentral:sRNA from 1 species
UUAAUUUCAUAAGACGUCGUUUCGUUUUGUAAAACGAUAUGUUUAUAGGUGUGUUGGCAAAUUAGUCACUUUUGAAAACAUAAUUAUGGAGUUGGGCAAGUUACUAUUUACACUUGACAAAACAUGUAACUCACUUUGGGCGUGUAAUAGACGAGCGUGAAAUAGAAGUUUGGGGUGGGGUAAGUGAUGUGUUUUGAAAUUACCGAACUAUCCUUUUGACAGAGAAGAAAGAUAAAAGUGAAAUAUUCUUUU